rnacentral:rRNA from 1 species
UAAUACGGAGGGUGCAAGCGUUACUCGGAACCACUGGGCGUAAAGCGCGCGCAGGCGGCUAUUUAAGUUGGAUGUGAAAGCCUACGGCUCAACCGUAGAACUGCAUCCAAAACUAUUUAGCUAGAGUGUGGGAGAGGAAGAUGGAAUUAGUUGUGUAGGGGUAAAAUCCGUAGAGAUAACUAGGAAUACCAAAAGCGAAGGCAAUCUUCUGGAACACUACUGACGCUGAGGCGCGAAAGCGUGGGGAGCAAACAGGAUUAGAUACCCUGGUAGUCCACGCUGUAAACGAUGUCAACUAGCCGUUGGGGAGUUUAAUCUCUUUAGUGGCGCAGCUAACGCGAUAAGUUGACCGCCUGGGGAGUACGGCCGCAAGGUUA